AUCGCAAGACCUCUCACUAUUGGAGCGGCCGAUAUCGGAUUAGCUAGUUGGUGGGGUAAAGGCCUACCAAGGCGACGAUCCGUAGCUGGUUUGAGAGGACGACCAGCCACACUGGGACUGAGACACGGCCCAGACUCCUACGGGAGGCAGCAGUGGGGAAUUUUGGACAAUGGGGAAACCCUGAUCCAGCCAUUCCGCGUGUGCGAUGAAGGCCUUCGGGUUGUAAAGCACUUUUGGCAGGAAAGAAAUCGUGUAGGUUAAUACCCUGCGCGGAUGACGGUACCUGCAGAAUAAGCACCGGCUAACUACGUG
rnacentral:rRNA from 1 species